GGAGGCAGAUAGGUUGCUGGUGUGCCUCGCGGUCUUCAAAACCGUUGUGGGGAGUUAAGAGCUUCCCGGGUGGGUUCGAUUCCCACCUCCUCCG
rnacentral:tRNA from 1 species